UACGAAGGGGGCGAGCGUUGUUCGGAUUUACUGGGCGUAAAGGGCGCGUAGGCGGUCAGCACAAGUCAGUUGUGAAAUCUCCGGGCUUAACUCGGAAAGGUCAACUGAUACUGUGCGACUAGAGUGCAGAAGGGGCAACUGGAAUUCUCGGUGUAGCGGUGAAAUGCGUAGAUAUCGAGAGGAACACCUGCGGCGAAAGCGGCGCACUGGACCACAACUGACGCUGAGGCGCGAAAGCUAGGGGAGCAAACAGG
rnacentral:rRNA from 1 species